CAUUGACCCAGUGGUCCGAGUGGAGGUAUUUUUUUGUCCUUGCAGAGAUGUACAAGAAAGAUGAGAAAGUAUGUAGAUCUCACAGCUACAUCCUGAUACAUAUAUUUUUAAUACUGUGGAUGUGAAUAAAUUCUUCUGAGGCUAUCAGUGACCAAUAUUUUAGCACUGGCAACUGAGCUCUGCAGUUAAAUCACAUAAAGUUAUACUCAAUCAGUACAGAUCAAAAUAUUUGGUUAAUUAUCUACCUAAGUUCACUUUAAACCCUUUCAGAUAAAAACCAAUUCAUUCUUUUGAGAAAGCACAGGAAUGUGAAAAGAUGGUUAUCAAGGGCUUUCCUGUUACAGGCUGCUUGCCUGUUGCAGAGGGGUGGGAUGAGAAGAACAGAUGUGGACCCAGAGUGGCUCACUGCUGCUUCCUGUGACUCCAUUUUCCAUGACUCUUCAGCCUUUUCAAGGGCCAUGAGGUUAAGCCGACUGUAGCUUUGACCUUCUUUGUCAGGUUGUCAGAACAAGAACCUUCAUUAUAAAGAAUUGCACUUAUGGGAUAGAGGGCCAAAAAUCCUGGCUUCCCAACCACAGAGAUCACUUGAAUGGCAUCCAUUUCUCAACUGCACUGAAGUCAUAGCCAGUUAUUGAAAUCAAACUUCAUGAAGACCAUGACCUUUCACUCUUGUCAGAGCACAAUAGGAAUUUGGGAGCCUCUAAACGCUUUCUCAAGGGUAGAAGUUUUAAAUUACAUGAAACAAUCAGAAGUUCAGCAUUACCUCUUGUAAGUAUCCCAUUGGAGGUCCCUGACAGUCUGGGAUUCUUGGCUGCCUUUCUAUCUUAGCAUAUUCACUGACCUAACUCCUUUCUUGUCCUGGUGCUGGAGAGAAUGGGACAGAGUAGACUUAAUGUUGUUCCCUUCUUUCCUUUUUAAAAAGCCUCUGUACUAGGAAAACAUCAAAUGACAUGGACUAUAACACCAAAAACCAAUGACGGCAAUAGCAGGAAAUUUUAUAUGAACAUUUAUUAAGCACCUAUCAUACACUAUUAAUUAUUAUGUUGGGUACUUUAUUGAAUCUCAAUAAGCCUAUGAAUAUACAUUAUUAUUGUGAUUCUUUUGCAGGUAAGUAAACCAAGUCUUACAGGGGUGGGAUAACUUGUCCCAGGUGACAUGACUUCUUAAUGGUGGAGCAAAAAUUUUAACCUAUAUGGUUUGACCAAUGGUUUUGUUUAGUAUUGGUUUGGUUUAUCUUGGUUUGGUUUGCUUUUUGAGACAUGGUUUCACUAUGUAGUUCAGGCUGUCCUUGAACUCACUAUGUAGCCCAGGCUGGCCUUGAACUCAUGGCAAUCCUCCUGUUUCAGCCUCCAAAGUGCUGGGACUACAAGGAUGUGCCUCCAUGCCUGGCUUUUGUUUUGGUUUUUUUGAGGCAGGGUGCUCUUGCUAUGUAGCUCAGACUGGCCUGAAACUCGUGAUCCUCCUGCUUCAGCCUCCUAAGUGCUAGGAUUACAGGUGUAUGCCACCAUGCUUGGGUCACUUAUCUCACCAAUGGUUUAAAAUACUAUGAUGAUUCAAGUUCUAAGUAGCUUGAAUUUUCUUUGUACUUCUGAAGAAAAUGACCACAAGAUCUGGCUCUUCCCAUGUAGCUCUACCUGGGCUGUAGUAAAACCACCCUGUCCAGGGCUGGGGAUUUAGCUCAGUGGUUCCACCACCUGCCUCUCAAGGUAAGGACCAGAGUUCUAUCCCCAGUACCAAAAAAACAAAAAACAAAAAACAAAACAACCACCCUGUCCACUUGGACCUGGGGUAGUUACACUUGCUAGACCAGUACAAGGAUUAGUAAUAAUCUCAUGUGGCUUCUACAUCCUGUUUAGACUUUUGUAAAUAAGCCCCUCAUUUGACUCUUUCUGAAUAUUCUUGUUGUGAGUAUGCCAUUUGUUUCCUGCUGGGUUCUUAACUGAUACAGUCUCUGGGUAUUUCCCCAUUCCUAAACUGGUUCUACCUCAGUUCACACCCAUGUUUGAUCUGGCUCCUGGAAAAACUCUACUCUUUUCCACAGGAAGGUAAUGUUUAGAUAUUUGGCUCUUUCUUGCAUCCCACCAUCUCCAGCAGAUCUCUUCCCCAUCUGGUGGACCUAAGGGGAAUGGGGAAUACAGUGUCCUGAAGUUCUGCUUUGGUCUUCCCACCUGCAGGGCUAUGGGCACCUUAUUAAUUAAUUACAGCCCUUGAGGGCAUACAGUAACUAUUUUCUUAGUGACAACACAGACUUAACCCAAAGAAAACUGUCUCUUAUUAGCAGGGCUCUGGCUUAUACCUGAAAAACAGUGGGUCUUCAUUAUUGUGCCUAAAAUCAACUGAUUGAGAUUCCUUUCUCCUCUGCCUGGGAGCCUGGCAGCAUAAAUAAAAGGCCAUAGUAGCUUUAGUGGCUCCCUGUAGAAUGUCACCAACUGUGACUAAAUUACUUUGAUCCAGAAUUUAGGUAUUCUUAUUCAUUCAUCUUCAUUCACAAGUAUGUCGGGAUUAGCAGUCAUGCUUCUUUGGAAUUGUCUUUUUACCUCAGCUUCCUGCCUCCUUAAAUCCUGAAUAUGGGAGCAAAUAUGGAGUCCUAGGGAAGAACUUCAGAGAGGUGUCUUUUAUUUUUGAAAGGGCAUGAAGUUUUCUUGCAAGAAAUGAUGUGUUGGCCAGACUGGGAAGGGAUUUUCCAGCUGGAGGGAGCAAGAUGUGCAAAGGCACAGACACAGGAGAAAGCAUGCACAAUUUGGGAAAUUAAACAUGGGAUUGUAUGGUUUUUAGGACUUAUCUGGUACAAAUAUCCUCAGACAGCAAGGAUGAGGAAUGGGUAUGGCACCAGGAAAGUUGCAUUGAUUGUGACAGAUGGCAUCAAUUCUGGUUGGUAUGUAGGUACCCUUAGCCAACCUUCCAAGCCUGACAGGACUGUUUAGGUUUUUUUGGUGUUGUUCUUUAACAUUUUGGUACAUUUUAGGUAUACAAUUCACUUACAUUUAUCAUUGGGUGUUUGUAUCUGUACAUGAUGUAUCUUGGUUCUUAUUUUUUUUCCCUCAUUACCUGUGCACCCUUCACCCCCUC
ensembl:lncRNA